UCAGUGAACACAUCCCUGUACCAGGAGGGUGACGUGCCCUUACUCCACAGGGACAGAGGCUCCUGCACCUGGGACCCCCCAGACCUUGCCCUAUGCAUCUCUUCAUGUGGCUAUUCCUCUGUAGCCUUUAUCAUAUCCCUUAAUAAACUGAGAAACAUAAGUGUUUCCCUGGGUUCCGAGAGCUGCUCUAGCAAAUAACUGAAUCCCAGGGGGAGGAGGUCAUGAAAACCUUUGAUUUGUAGCCAGAUCCGACAGAAGCUGUAGGUAACCUGGGAACCUUCUACUUGGAAUUAACCUCUCAAGAGGGGAGCAGUCCUGUGGGAUCGAGCCCUUAACCUGUGGGAUCUGAUGUUAUCGCCAAGUAGAUAGCGUCAGAAUUGAGUUCAACUGUAGGACACCCAGCUGGUGUCACAGAGAAUUUCUUGUGGGAACCCCCCCCCCCCCCCCCCGACCCAGCACACACACUAUUUGGUGAUCAGGGGCGUCAGAAGUGAAGUGUUCUGUGUAAGUAGUAAAGCAGACACACAGGAGGAGAACACUGUAGGUUUUCCCCUCCACAGUCCUGAGCAUCAUUAAUCAGGGAAAUGCAAAUCAACAUUACAAUGAGAUAUCACCUCACACCUGUUAGGAUGCCUAUUACAAAAAAAGUCUGAAGAUAAAAAGUUUUAGUGUGGGGCUGGCCCCGUGGCCGAGUGGUUAAGUUCGUGCCCUCCACUUCAGCGGCCCGGGUUUCGCCAGUUUGGAUCCUGGGCGCGGACAUGGAGCCACUCAUCAAGCCAUGCUGAGGCAGCGCUCCACCCGCUUCCGACGGACCCUACCCUCAACAUCACGGGACCCGCACGCCUUUCUCUCCCUGGAUGUGGGUGAGCCAAUCUGCUGGUGAGGAGGGGAUAAACUUCUUAAAGAACUUUUAAAAUAAUAUAACCGCCUGAUGUGUGGUUAGUUUGGGAUGUUUCAGUUAUGUUGGGGUCCCCUUCUUUAUGAAGGUUGUCUCAAUUAAGAGAUGAAAAGCAGUAACUCUCCACUGGGCUCCAUCUUGUACAAAUGUUGCAAACUCAUGUUGCAGUUCACUGCGUUAAACCAAGACACUUCCCUGGGAGCCAAGGGGUCUGGGAGAGGGGUGACCUCUUCCAGAACAAUGGCACGUGGCAAGGAACUGACAGGAUGGAAGGGCACCCGCUCCUGCAGGUAGGAUAUCCCAGAGAGCCCAGGUUUGGCUCCAUCGUGUCUCAAGGAGGUCUUAGGAGCCGUGCUGAGCUCAUGGGGUGCUGUUUCCAGAGCCCAAAGCAUAACGGGCAGCUGAGUGGAGGGUCCCAUGGGUCCCAUGCUCAGGGCCUCGGAGAGCCUCUAUCAUCAGGAGAGACCAGUAUGUGGUGGUGACUGCAGCUCCAAUGGCACACAGUGGGGGGCUGGGGCAGGUUCUUGCA
rnacentral:lncRNA from 1 species